GGUCCUGUGGUCUAGUGGUAUGAUUCUCGCUUUGGGCUCUUCAAACCUGAGUUCGCUUGCGAGAGGCCCCGCGUUCGAAUCGCGGCAGGACCC
rfam:Blastomyces dermatitidis ER-3 genomic scaffold supercont1.4, whole genome shotgun sequence.